rnacentral:lncRNA from 1 species
CCAGGUCUUACCUUGGCCUUUCCUUCCUGGCUCAAAACCUGUGGGUUCACCUCACAGGUGAGCAACCUCCAGCUUGACCUCAAGUCCUUCUUUUACAAUACGUUCUCAAGGAGACAGAAGCCAAGAGUCUGGGCCCUGCCUCUUCCUUAGCUCCGACCCCAGGCUCACAAAGGAAUUGGAGGGGCUUCAAGCAACAGUGCUCAUGUCUCACUCCUGCUGUCUGCACACGGCACAGCAGCUGGAGGCUCUGCUCACAUCUUCCUCGUUCUGGGACCUAGGCUGAGGAAACAGCCCUCACCUGGAGCAUGGCUGGUCCCUCUGGCAGAAGGAAAGAGAGUACGGUGAGCCACAUGUUGGCUCAGAAAACAUCACCCAGGAGUAACAAGGCAAGUCUCAUG